AUGCGACUCUGAAACCCCCUGGAUGUCUCUCUCUCAUAGAUGCCAGGACAAGAAGAGACGCCAGAGCCAACCUGUGAGAAUUCCAAAGAGCUGAGACUGCCUGUUUCUGUUCUAUUUCACCUCUCACACAUUU